ensembl:snRNA U2 U2 spliceosomal RNA
AGGCCAUCGCCGGCCUUUUGGCUAAGAUCAAGUGUAGUAUCUGUUCUUAUCAGUUUAAUAUCUGAUACGCCCGAUUCGGGGCAACGAUAAACGCAUUUUUAGAACAGGGAGCUGAAUAAGGGGCUCGCUCCGUUCGCUCCACGCAUCGACCGGUAUUGCAGCGCCUCCGGGAAACGGUGCCCCUUUG